rnacentral:rRNA from 1 species
UACGGAGGGUGCAAGCGUUAGUCGGAAUUACUGGGCGUAAAGGGUGCGUAGGUGGGGAUAUAAGUUAGAUGUGAAAUACCGUUGCUCAACAACGGCCGUGCAUCUAAAACUGUAUUUCUAGAGGGAAAGCGGAGAAAACGGAAUUCCAUGUGUAGCGGUGAAAUGCGUAGAUAUAUGGAAGAACACCUGUGGCGAAAGCGGUUUUCUAGCUACCCCCUGACACUGAGGCACGAAAGCAAGGGGAGCAAACAGG